CGUGUGUGAAGAAGGCCUUAUGGUUGUAAAGCACUUAUAAUGCGAGGAGGACGGCCACUUAAGAUAAUACCUAGAGAUAGUGGAACGUUACUCGCAAAAUAAGCAGCCGGCUAACUCUGUGCCAGCAGCCGCGGUAAUACAGAGGGUGCAAGCGUUAAUCGGAUUUACUGGGCGUAAAGCGCGCGUAGGCGGCUAAUUAAGUCAAAUGUGAAAUCCCCGAGCUUAGCUUGGGAAUUGCAUUCGAUACUGGUUAGCUAGAGUGUGGGAGAGGAUGGUAGAAUUCCAGGUGUAGCGGUGAAAUGCGUAGAGAUCUGGAGGAAUACCGAUGGCGAAGGCAGCCAUCUGGCCUAACACUGACGCUGAGGUGCGAAAGCAUGGGGAGCAAACAGGAUUAGAUACCCUGGUAGUCCAUGCCGUAAACGAUGUCUACUAGCCGUUGGGGCCUUUGAGGCUUUAGUGGCGCAGCUAACGCGAUAAGUAGACCGCCUGGGGAGUACGGUCGCAAGACUAAAACUCAAAUGAAUUGACGGGGGCCCGCACAAGCGGUGGAGCAUGUGGUUUAAUUCGAUGCAACGCGAAGAACUUUACUGGCCUUGACCUAGUAAGAACUUUCCA
rnacentral:rRNA from 1 species